rnacentral:rRNA from 1 species
UACGUAGGGUGCGAGCGUUAAUCGGAAUUACUGGGCGUAAAGCGUGCGCAGGCGGUUCGUUGUGUCUGAUGUGAAAGCCCCGGGCUCAACCUGGGAAUGGCAUUGGAAACUGGCGAGCUAGAGUGUGGCAGAGGGGGGUGGAAUUCCGCGUGUAGCAGUGAAAUGCGUAGAGAUGCGGAGGAACACCGAUGGCGAAGGCAGCCCCCUGGGCCAAUACUGACGCUCAGGCACGAAAGCGUGGGGAGCAAACAGG